AGGUUAUGUGCACAGAUGAUUUAGAUAAAAGAACUAGGGUGCUGAAUCUGGUCAGUGGGCAUUUUAAUUCUUUCAAUAAAAGUGGAAGAAAAGUCCUGUUUGGUUGAUAAGUUGUACGAAUAAAUGGAGCCUGGCUAGUUGUGCCAUAAUUUUCUGAUUUCAGCUUCUUCUCUCUUAGUCUCUUGAGAAAAUCUAUAUAUUCUACUUGUAUUAUGAUGGUUCCGG
rnacentral:misc_RNA from 1 species